CAAAAGCUUCCAGUAUACAAUACGCAAACCAAGUUGUCCUUCGUAAUUACUGAGAGGCUUUCCGUUUCCAUGCAUUAUAACAUUUUCUUCUUGUGCUAGCAAAGAUAAUUCUGCUUCAUAAAUAGCAUUUAAAGAAGAGGAUAGUGAGUCUAAAUAUUGGAAACAACUUUGUUGGACCGAAGGAGAGGAGUGAUCAAAGGUAGCCAACCAUUUGACAUUCUUUUCAAAUAGUGGGGUAUUGCAAUUGUAAAUUGCAUCCUUAAGUAAUUUUUCUGCAACAGGAUUAUUAUAUUGCUCACCACUAGCGUUUGCAAAAGCCAAAACAACGUUGAUAUCUUUUGGAGACGCAUUUAUGGGAACAGUGAUCUAGAUACUAAUUAGUAAAACGGUUAUGUACAGGAUUUAAACUUACGUCGAUCAAAAUUAUUUUUCCAGCUAAACUGAGGACCACUUCAUUGGGUUUGGAGGAGUCUUGAAAAACCUCCAGACCAUACUUUUUAGCCAAAUAUUCAAAUCCAGUUACAGAGAUAUCAUUCCAAGGAACUGAUGAUAGACAAUCAAUCCAAUAACGCGUCCAGUUAAUCUGAUUGGGGUUAGAGGCGUUUCGACGGAAAUGAACUUCAGAAAAGAGAUGUGGUCUAUCCAUCGAAAAGAUUAUUAAAGAAGAUUUAGUAAAUUAGUCGUGUAUUUCGUAUUUAAUCAGCUUAAAACACUGUAUAUAAGCGCAAUUUUAUGUCUGUUCAGCGAGCAAUUUAAUUUGUUCUGCAAAAAGGAAGCCUUUACUGCCAUCAAACUAUUUGCUAGAAACGCAUUAAUUGCAAAAACAAGUAGGUAAUUUUGAACCGCCUAAAACUUAGUUUCAAUGGGAAGGUCUGUGUGAUUGAUUUAUCUUUAUAACGAGGGUUAAAACAGUAGUUAUGGGGAAUUUUAUAUGUAUACAAAUGAAAACCAAUUUUAAACCUUGGACUAAAAAAAACCCAAAGUAUGUUCACUCAAACUCUUUUUAAAG